rnacentral:rRNA from 1 species
GAUGAACGCUGGCGGCGUGCCUAAUACAUGCAAGUCGAGCGAACAGACGAGGAGCUUGCUCCUCUGACGUUAGCGGUGGACGGGUGAGUAACACGUGGAUAACCUACCUAUAAGACUGGGAUAACUUCGGGAAACCGGAGCUAAUACCGGAUAAUAUAUUGAACCGCAUGGUUCAAUAGUGAAAGACGGUUUUGCUGUCACUUAUAGAUGGAUCCGCGCCGCAUUAGCUAGUUGGUAAGGUAACGGCUUACCAAGGCAACGAUGCGUAGCCGACCUGAGAGGGUGAUCGGCCACACUGGAACUGAGACACGGUCCAGACUCCUACGGGAGGCAGCAGUAGGGAAUCUUCCGCAAUGGGCGAAAGCCUGACGGAGCAACGCCGCGUGAGUGAUGAAGGUCUUCGGAUCGUAAAACUCUGUUAUUAGGGAAGAACAAAUGUGUAAGUAACGAUGCACGUCUUGACGGUACCUAAUCAGAAAGCCACGGCUAACUACGU